rnacentral:rRNA from 1 species
UCAGGAUGAACGCUGGCGGCGUGCUUAACACAUGCAAGUCGAACGAAGCCAAAAGGAAGCUUGCUUUCUUGAAGCUUAGUGGCGGACGGGUGAGUAACGCGUGAGUAACCUGCCCUUCAGUGGGGAAUAACACAGAGAAAUCUGUGCUAAUACCGCAUAACGUCUUCUUGCCGCAUGACAGGAAGACCAAAGGAUUUAUUCGCUGAAAGAUGGACUCGCGUCCGAUUAGCUAGUUGGUGAGGUAACGGCCCACCAAGGCGACGAUCGGUAGCCGAACUGAGAGGUUGAUCGGCCACAUUGGGACUGAGACACGGCCCAGACUCCUACGGGAGGCAGCAGUGGGGAAUAUUGGGCAAUGGGCGAAAGCCCUGACCCAGCAACGCCGCGUGAAGGAAGACGGUCUUCGGAUUGUAAACUUCUUUGAUUGGGGAAGAAACAAAUGACCUACCCAAAGAACAAGUCACGGCUAACUACGUGCCAGCAGCCGC